rnacentral:rRNA from 1 species
UGGGGAAUUUUGCACAAUGGACGAAAGUCUGAUGCAGCGACGCCGCGUGUGCGAUGAAGGCCUUUGGGUCGUAAAGCACUGUCGAACGGGACGAAAACUUCAGUACUAAUACUAUUGAAGUCUGACGGUACUGUUAAAGGAAGCACCGGCUAACUCUGUGCCAGCAGCCGCGGUAAUACAGAGGGUGCAAACGUUGCUCGGAAUUAUUGGGCGUAAAGCGCACGUAGGUGGCCUGUUAAGUUGGUCGUGAAAGCCCAUGGCUCAACCAUGGAAGUGCAACCAAAACUGGCAGGCUAGAGUCCUGAAGAGGAUGGCGGAAUUCCCGGUGUAGAGGUGAAAUUCGUAGAUAUCGGGAGGAACAUCGGUGGCGAAGGCGGCCAUCUGGGAAGCGACUGACACUGAGGUGCGAAAGCGUGGGUAGCAAACAGG